UACAGAGGCUGCAAGCGUUAUCCGGAAUUACUGGGCGUAAAGCGCACGCAGGCGGUUCGCCAAGUUUGGAGUGACAGUUGUCGGCUCAACCGACAAAGGACUUCAAAAACUGGUGAACUUGAGGACGAGAGAGGAACAUGGAACUCCAGGUGUAGUAGUGAAAUGCGUAGAUAUCUGGAAGAACACCAAUGGCGAAGGCAAUGUUCUGGCUCGUUUCUGACGCUCAGGUGCGAAAGCCAGGGGAGCGAACGGG
rnacentral:rRNA from 1 species